UUGGGGGGGAGAGGGAGAGGAGGAGGGGAGAGGAGGAGGGAGAAGAGGGAGCUAGGGACCGAUCUACUCAGGAUCUAAUGACUUACCUCCUGCUCUCUCCUCUCCUCUCCCCUCUUCCUCUCCUCUCCUCCCUCCUCCUCUCCUCUCUCCUCUCCUCUCCCCUCCUCCUCUCCUCUCCUCCCUCCUCCUCUCCUCUCUCCUCUCCUCUCCCCUCCUCCUCUCCUCUCCUCUCCCCUCCUCCUCUCCUCUCCUCCCUCCUCCUCUCCUCUCUCCUCUUCUCCUCUCCUCUCCUCUCCUCUCCUCCCUCCUCCUCUUUUCCUCCAUGGAAUAAUCUCCUCCUCCUCUCCUCUCCCCUCCUGCCUCCCCCUCUCCUCUCCUCCUCUCCUCUCCUCCCUCCUCCGCUCCUCUCCUCCCUCCUCCUCUCCUCCUCUCUCCUCUCCUCUCCUCCUCUCCUCUCUCCUCUCCUCCUCUCUCUUCUCUCCCCUCCUCCCUCCUCCUCUCUCCUCUCCUGUCCUCCCUCCUCCUCUCCUCUCCUCCUCUCCUCUCUCCUCCUCUCCUCCUCUCUCCUCUCCUCCUCUCUCUCCUCUCCUCCUCUCCUCUCCUCUCCUCUCCUCCCCUCUCCUCACCUCCAGGUACCUGCUCCUCUGGUGAUGUCAUCGGUGAAGGUGGAAUGUGUGGUGAAGGAGAGCUGUCUGAUUGGCGAGGGGCCGGUGUGGGAGGAGUCAGAGCAGUCCUUGCUCUAUGUUGACGUCGUCGGCCAGAAGGUUAUACUCUGUCUGUCUCUGUUUCUGUCUCUGUCUCUCUCCCCCUCUCUCUCUCUCCCCCUCUCUCCCCCUCUCUCUCUCUCUCUCUCUCUCUCUCUCUCUCUCUCUCUCUCUCUGUCUAUCUCUCUCUCUCUCUCCCCCCCCUCUCUCUCUCUCUCUCUCUCUCUCUCUCUCUCUCUCUCUCUCUCUCCCCCCCCUCUCUCUCUCUCUCUCUCUCUCUCUCUCUCUCUCUCUCUCUCUCUCUCUCUCUCUCUCUCUCUCUCUCUCUCUCUCUCAAUUCAAUUCAAUUCAAAAAGCUCUAUUAGCAUGACUAUUGGUAAGCCAAACAGUGUUGCCAAAGCG
rnacentral:lncRNA from 1 species